AAAAUUAAUAGAACGAUCAGUAUUAUAGAUAGAUUGAUUCACACGUCAGGGGUGAUAUUCAUACAAGUCCUUUUAAGGACUGAAGUUUAUAGAAUUCUAAUAGAAUUUCUAACCCUGACUUUUACAUAAGAUAUUUAUGAGUACUGCCGGUAACGCCAUUAAUGACCAGCGCCGGGACUAUGGCCUGGAGUUGUGGGUCGAAAAGCAUCAACAACCACAUUAGGCUUGCGGUUAAGGCCAAUAGAAUUACCAACGCCGGAACUGUGGCCUGGAGUUGUGGGUAGAAAAGCAUCAGCAACCACAUUAGGCUUGCGGGUAAGGCCAAUAGAAUUACCAAUGCCGGGACAGGGGCCUGAAGCUGCGGGUGGUAAAGCGUCAAUAUGCGUAUCCACUGAGUU
rnacentral:lncRNA from 1 species